rnacentral:rRNA from 1 species
GACGAACGCUGGCGGCGUGCCUAAUACAUGCAAGUCGAACGCAGUGGGGACGGGUGAGGAACACGUGGGUAACCUCCCAUCAGAGGGGAUAACACUUGGAAACAGGUGCUAAACCGAUAGUGAUGGAUGGACCCGGGGUGCAUUAGCUAGUUGGUGAGGGACCGGCUCACCAAGGCCACGAUGCAUAGCUGGCCUGAGAGGGUGAUCGGCCACACGGGGACUGAGACACGGCCCAGACUCCUACGGGAGGCAGCAGUAGGGAAUCUUCGACAAUGGGCGAAAGUCUGACCGAGCAACGCCGCGUGAGUGAAGAAGGUUUUCGGAUCGUAAAGCUCUGUCGUUGGAGAGGCGGUAUCUAACCAGAAAGCCACGGCUAACUACGUGCCAGCCGCCGCGGUAAUAC